rnacentral:piRNA from 1 species
UUGUAAAUGUGCUUAUCCAAG